rnacentral:rRNA from 1 species
CCUACGGGAGACUGCAGUGAGGAAUAUUGGUCAAUGGACGAGAGUCUGAACCAGCCAAGUAGCGUGAAGGAUGACUGCCCUAUGGGUUGUAAACUUCGUUUAUAUGGGAAUAAAACAGGGUAUGCAUACCCUCUUGUAUGUACCAUAUGAAUAAGGAUCGGCUAACUCCGUGCCAGCAGCCGCGGUAAUACGGAGGAUCCGAGCGUUAACCGGAUUUAUUGGGUUUAAAGGGAGCGUAGGUGGAUUGUUAAGUCAGUUGUGAAAGUUUGCGGCUCAACCGUAAAAUUGCAGUUGCAACUGGCAGUCUUUCUUACAGUAGCGGUGUGCUGAAUUCGUUGUGUAGCGG